AACGAACGCUGGCGGCAUGCCUAACACAUGCAAGUCGAACGAGACCUUCGGGUCUAGUGGCGCACGGGUGCGUAACGCGUGGGAACCUGCCCUUAGGUUCGGAAUAACUCCCCGAAAGGGGUGCUAAUACCGGAUAAUGUCUUCGGACCAAAGAUUUAUCGCCUUUGGAUGGGCCCGCGUUGGAUUAGCUAGUUGGUAGGGUAAAAGCCUACCAAGGCGACGAUCCGUAGCUGGUCUGAGAGGAUGAUCAGCCACACUGGGACUGAGACGGGGCCCAGACUCCUGGGGGAGGCAGCAGUGGGGAAUAUUGGACAAUGGGCGCAAGCGUGAUCCAGCCAUAGCGCGUGGGUGAAGAAGGCCUUCGGGUUGUAAAGCCCUUUUGUUGGGAAAGAAAAGCAGCAGGUUAAUACCGCGCUGUUCUGACGGUACCCAAAGAAUAAGCACCGGCUAACUUCGUG
rnacentral:rRNA from 1 species